UGGCGGACUGUGCCAACCGGACAUGAUGGAGAAGGAGAACACGGAAAUUUUUCCGGUUUCUUUCCGUGGCCAACGAAAUGGCAGGCGAGCUUCUAACCCAUCCGGUCC
rnacentral:sRNA from 1 species